CGAACAGGCCCUGGGAAGAAAAGACAGUGUAAAAACUUUACAGACGUUAGAGGACGCUGUGGUCCUUUGGAUAUUGUUUCUAACAAAUUAUACUUCAAAAGCCAUCCAGAGGUCGACUGAGUUUGUUUUUAAUCUGCCAAGAGCUCAGGCAGCCUGGAAUGCUGAGUGAAGAAUAUGUGGCGCGGAAGAGAUCCACGAAGUACUUCAGCCCCUGAAAACAAUCAAGUCCCCGUUUCAGGGCCUUUGCAGCAGUAACAGUGGGGAAUCCUGUCCUGCUGUUUUAUUUUCUCAUUUUCUCUCUCUGGCCAAACCUGCAAAGAGCAUGAUAGAACCCUAUUGUAACUGCAAAUGUUUGUUUUCUGAUUACAAAUGUGACGGCAUGUUCAUUAUGCAAAAUCUGAAAAAUGUAGAAAAAGUAUUAAUAGAAAAAAAUACCAGGAGGAAAUACUAUUUUGAGCUGCAGGGAUUAUGGGCUUAAAAAUAUUUUUUAUCUUAUGUUUUUCCAUAUUUCCCAAAUUUUCUGCCAUGAAUUAGAAUUACUGCUGUAUCAUAAAAAGUUUUUAAAGUACAUAGUUUGCAAUUUAUAGAAAGGUCAUAUGGCUUUCUGUAAUGUGAGUAGCAUUACAUCUACUCACAAAGUUAGGCAUAGGGCAUAGAAGCAGGUGAUACUUCAGAGCUGAUCACAAACAACUUCACAAAUAGCAAAACUGGUAAAA